rnacentral:SRP_RNA from 1 species
GCCGGGCGUGGUGGUGCGUGCCUGUAAUCCCAGCUACUAGGGAGGCUGAGGCAGGAGAAUUGCUUGAACCCAGGAGGUGGAGGUUGCAGUGAGCCGAGAUUGUGCCACUGCACUCCAGCCUGGGCAACAGAGCAAGACUCCACCUCCA